UUAAGCGACUAAGCGUACACGGUGGAUGCCCUGGCAGUCAGAGGCGAUGAAGGACGUGCUAAUCUGCGAUAAGCGUCGGUAAGGUGAUAUGAACCGUUAUAACCGGCGAUUUCCGAAUGGGGAAACCCAGUGUGAUUCGUCACACUAUCAUUAACUGAAUCCAUAGGUUAAUGAGGCGAACCGGGGGAACUGAAACAUCUAAGUACCCCGAGGAAAAGAAAUCAACCGAGAUUCCCCCAGUAGCGGCGAGCGAACGGGGAGCAGCCCAGAGCCUGAAUCAGUGUGUGUGUUAGUGGAAGCGUCUGGAAAGGCGCGCGAUACAGGGUGACAGCCCCGUACACAAAAAUGCACAUGCUGUGAGCUCGAUGAGUAGGGCGGGACACGUGGUAUCCUGUCUGAAUAUGGGGGGACCAUCCUCCAAGGCUAAAUACUCCUGACUGACCGAUAGUGAACCAGUACCGUGAGGGAAAGGCGAAAAGAACCCCGGCGAGGGGAGUGAAAAAGAACCUGAAACCGUGUACGUACAAGCAGUGGGAGCACAGAGCAAUCUGUGUGACUGCGUACCUUUUGUAUAAUGGGUCAGCGACUUAUAUUCUGUAGCAAGGUUAACCGAAUAGGGGAGCCGAAGGGAAACCGAGUCUUAACUGGGCGUUAAGUUGCAGGGUAUAGACCCGAAACCCGGUGAUCUAGCCAUGGGCAGGUUGAAGGUUGGGUAACACUAACUGGAGGACCGAACCGACUAAUGUUGAAAAAUUAGCGGAUGACUUGUGGCUGGGGGUGAAAGGCCAAUCAAACCGGGAGAUAGCUGGUUCUCCCCGAAAGCUAUUUAGGUAGCGCCUCGUGAAUUCAUCUCCGGGGGUAGAGCACUGUUUCGGCAAGGGGGUCAUCCCGACUUACCAACCCGAUGCAAACUGCGAAUACCGGAGAAUGUUAUCACGGGAGACACACGGCGGGUGCUAACGUCCGUCGUGAAGAGGGAAACAACCCAGACCGCCAGCUAAGGUCCCAAAGUCAUGGUUAAGUGGGAAACGAUGUGGGAAGGCCCAGACAGCCAGGAUGUUGGCUUAGAAGCAGCCAUCAUUUAAAGAAAGCGUAAUAGCUCACUGGUCGAGUCGGCCUGCGCGGAAGAUGUAACGGGGCUAAACCAUGCACCGAAGCUGCGGCAGCGACGCUUAUGCGUUGUUGGGUAGGGGAGCGUUCUGUAAGCCUGCGAAGGUGUGCUGUGAGGCAUGCUGGAGGUAUCAGAAGUGCGAAUGCUGACAUAAGUAACGAUAAAGCGGGUGAAAAGCCCGCUCGCCGGAAGACCAAGGGUUCCUGUCCAACGUUAAUCGGGGCAGGGUGAGUCGACCCCUAAGGCGAGGCCGAAAGGCGUAGUCGAUGGGAAACAGGUUAAUAUUCCUGUACUUGGUGUUACUGCGAAGGGGGGACGGAGAAGGCUAUGUUGGCCGGGCGACGGUUGUCCCGGUUUAAGCGUGUAGGCUGGUUUUCCAGGCAAAUCCGGAAAAUCAAGGCUGAGGCGUGAUGACGAGGCACUACGGUGCUGAAGCAACAAAUGCCCUGCUUCCAGGAAAAGCCUCUAAGCAUCAGGUAACAUCAAAUCGUACCCCAAACCGACACAGGUGGUCAGGUAGAGAAUACCAAGGCGCUUGAGAGAACUCGGGUGAAGGAACUAGGCAAAAUGGUGCCGUAACUUCGGGAGAAGGCACGCUGAUAUGUAGGUGAAGCGACUUGCUCGUGGAGCUGAAAUCAGUCGAAGAUACCAGCUGGCUGCAACUGUUUAUUAAAAACACAGCACUGUGCAAACACGAAAGUGGACGUAUACGGUGUGACGCCUGCCCGGUGCCGGAAGGUUAAUUGAUGGGGUUAGCGCAAGCGAAGCUCUUGAUCGAAGCCCCGGUAAACGGCGGCCGUAACUAUAACGGUCCUAAGGUAGCGAAAUUCCUUGUCGGGUAAGUUCCGACCUGCACGAAUGGCGUAAUGAUGGCCAGGCUGUCUCCACCCGAGACUCAGUGAAAUUGAACUCGCUGUGAAGAUGCAGUGUACCCGCGGCAAGACGGAAAGACCCCGUGAACCUUUACUAUAGCUUGACACUGAACAUUGAGCCUUGAUGUGUAGGAUAGGUGGGAGGCUUUGAAGUGUGGACGCCAGUCUGCAUGGAGCCGACCUUGAAAUACCACCCUUUAAUGUUUGAUGUUCUAACGUUGACCCGUAAUCCGGGUUGCGGACAGUGUCUGGUGGGUAGUUUGACUGGGGCGGUCUCCUCCUAAAGAGUAACGGAGGAGCACGAAGGUUGGCUAAUCCUGGUCGGACAUCAGGAGGUUAGUGCAAUGGCAUAAGCCAGCUUGACUGCGAGCGUGACGGCGCGAGCAGGUGCGAAAGCAGGUCAUAGUGAUCCGGUGGUUCUGAAUGGAAGGGCCAUCGCUCAACGGAUAAAAGGUACUCCGGGGAUAACAGGCUGAUACCGCCCAAGAGUUCAUAUCGACGGCGGUGUUUGGCACCUCGAUGUCGGCUCAUCACAUCCUGGGGCUGAAGUAGGUCCCAAGGGUAUGGCUGUUCGCCAUUUAAAGUGGUACGCGAGCUGGGUUUAGAACGUCGUGAGACAGUUCGGUCCCUAUCUGCCGUGGGCGCUGGAGAACUGAGGGGGGCUGCUCCUAGUACGAGAGGACCGGAGUGGACGCAUCACUGGUGUUCGGGUUGUCAUGCCAAUGGCACUGCCCGGUAGCUAAAUGCGGAAGAGAUAAGUGCUGAAAGCAUCUAAGCACGAAACUUGCCCCGAGAUGAGUUCUCCCUGACUCCUUGAGAGUCCUGAAGGAACGUUGAAGACGACGACGUUGAUAGGCCGGGUGUGUAAGCGCAGCGAUGCGUUGAGCUAACCGGUACUAAUGAACCGUGAGGCUUAACCUU
rnacentral:rRNA from 1 species